GUACUAUUGCGGCCGCCCUCUGCUGCGCCUGAAGAGAGAGGCGACUCUACAAGCCUCACAGCAUGCACUGUUACUAAAAAGACGAUGCGUCCUCCUGGACCUGAGAUCUGUGUGAUCGUGGGAAAGCGACGAAAAACGUACGUAAUUUUUUUCUGAAGGCACCUUCGGGACACCUUACCCUUCCCUCAGGGGGGCCCAGCUUCGCGCGCGGUGCUGUGGGGGUUGUAGUUCCUCCGCCGGAGCGGGACCUCCGGUGCCCCGGGCCAGGGAUGUGAGAAAGAAGCGAGCCCUCGAGUUUCCUCGGGGCAUGUGGGAAGGUUUUUUUCAGGAUCCAGGCAGAACCUUACAGAGCUGGGAGUUUUUUAACUUUCCAUUCCUGGCAGUGACGCCAGGAGCUUUAAGUGAUGGAAAUAUGCGAGUCAAUCAGUGGAUGGUGGCUCUCCCAAACAAAAUGAUAGACAGGAACAAAGGAACAGUAAAUGGAGUAACUUGGCUAGAAUAUGGCAGUAACUACAAGGCAUGUUCUGCUCUGGCACGAAGACAACCCACCUGAGGCACCAGACACAUGAGUGAAGCCAUCUUGGACAUCCCAGUCACAGCCAAACUCACUCCUGAGUGCAUCUGCAUGAUGAACCCAGCAAUCCCCACCAUGGAGCAAAGGAUCCAUCCAGUCAACCCAAAGAAUCGUGAAAAAUAAUAAAUUGUUGUUUUAAAGUU
rnacentral:lncRNA from 10 species